GACCUGUUAGCGUAAUGGGAAGCGUGCCCACUUCAAUUUGUUAAGGAUUUGUACUUAUGCGGGAGGCCCCGGUUCGAACCCGGGAUAGGACA